GAUGAACGCUGGCGGCGUGCCUAACACAUGCAAGUCGAACGGAAAGGCCAGUGCUUGCACUGGUACUCGAGUGGCGAACGGGUGAGUAACACGUGGGUGAUCUGCCCUGCACUUCGGGAUAAGCCUGGGAAACUGGGUCUAAUACCGGAUAGGACAAUGGUUUGGAUGCCGUUGUGGAAAGUUUUUUCGGUGUGGGAUGAGCUCGCGGCCUAUCAGCUUGUUGGUGGGGUAAUGGCCUACCAAGGCGUCGACGGGUAGCCGGCCUGAGAGGGUGUACGGCCACAUUGGGACUCAGAUACGGCCCAGACUCCUACGGGAGGCAGCAGUGGGGAAUAUUGCACAAUGGGCGCAAGCCUGAUGCAGCGACGCCGCGUGGGGGAUGACGGCCUUCGGGUUGUAAACUCCUUUCGCUAGGGACGAAGCGUAUUUGUGACGGUACCUGGAGAAGAAGCACCGGCUAACUACGUG
rnacentral:rRNA from 1 species